rnacentral:rRNA from 1 species
UACGUAGGGGGCAAGCGUUGUCCGGAUUUAUUGGGCGUAAAGAGCGUGUAGGCGGUUCGGUAGGUCCGUUGUGAAAACUCAAGGCUCAACCUCGAGACGCCGAUGGAAACCCUCGAACUAGAGUCCGGAAGAGGAGAGUGGAAUUCCUGGUGUAGCGGUGAAAUGCGCAGAUAUCAGGAAGAACACCCGUGGCUAAGGCGGCUCUCUAGUACGGUACUGACGCUGAGACGCGAAAGCGUGGGGAGCGAACAGG